rnacentral:tmRNA from 1 species
GGGGACGUUAGGUUUCGAUAGGAGACCUUUUUAAAAUAAGCAAGUCGAGGAUAUCAGUUAGCUCGUUAAAACCUGGUAAAUAUAAGUGCAAACAAUUUUGCCUUUGCAGUAGCUUAAUAACUACAGCCAUCCCUUAUGCUGAUUCUCAAUGGGCAAUCGGGGGUGUUAUAGUGUCCUUCGGGACAUUUUGAGAUAGGUGUGCGAUUUUGCCUCGUUCGUCAUACCGAAAAAAGAGGCUAAGCCUUUUGGAUUUUUAUCUGCUUUUUAUCCGAAUAGUCGAAAAAACCAAACAGAUUAAACUUGUAGAGCUAUUUUAGAAAUUCUUCUAGACGGGAGUUCGAUUCUCCCCGUCUCCACCC